rnacentral:rRNA from 1 species
GACCGGCAGACGGCUGAGUAACACGUUGGUAUCUGCCCUGUACUCGUGGAUAGCCCGGAGAAAUCCGGAUUAAUACACGAUAGUCUCUACGGAGUAAAGAUUUCUCGGUACAGGAGGAGCCUGCGGCCUAUCAGUUUGUUGGUGAGGUAAUGGCUCACCAAGACUAUGACGGGUACCUGGUGUGAGAGCACGACCAGGCAGAAUGGGACUGAGACACGGCCCAUACUCC